rnacentral:rRNA from 1 species
UACGUAGGGUGCGAGCGUUAAUCGGAAUUACUGGGCGUAAAGUGUGCGCAGGCGGCCGCGCAAGUCGAAUGUGAAAGCCCCGGGCUUAACUUGGGAAUUGCGCUCGAAACUACGUGGCUGGAGUGUGGCAGAGGAAGGUGGAAUUCCACGUGUAGCGGUGAAAUGCGUAGAGAUGUGGAGGAACACCAAUGGCGAAGGCAGCCUUCUGGGCCAACACUGACGCUCAUGCACGAAAGCGUGGGGAGCAAACAGG